rnacentral:rRNA from 1 species
AUUGAACGCUGGCGGCAGGCCUAACACAUGCAAGUCGAACGAGUGGCGGACGGGUGAGUAAUGUCUGGGAAACUGCCUGAUGGAGGGGGAUAACUACUGGAAACGGUAGCUAAUACCGCAUACCAUCGGAUGUGCCCAGACGGGAUUAGCUAGUAGGUGGGGUAAAGGCUCACCUAGGCGACGAUCCCUAGCUGGUCUGACAGGAUGACCGGCCAAACUGGAACUGAGGUACGGUCAAGACUCCUAGUGGAGGCAGCAGUGGGGAAUAUGGCACAAGCGGCACAAGCCUGAUGCAGCCAUACCGCGUGUAUGAAGAAAGCCUUCAGGUUGUAAAGUACUUUCAGCGGGGAGGCGUUACCCGCAAAAGGAGCACCGACUAACUCCGAGCCAGCAGCCGCGGUAAUAC